UACGUAGGGUCCAAGCGUUGUCCGGAUUUAUUGGGCGUAAAGAGCUCGUAGGCGGCUUGUCGCGUCGACUGUGAAAACCCGCGGCUCAACUGCGGGCCUGCAGUCGAUACGGGCAGGCUAGAGUUCGGUAGGGGAGACUGGAAUUCUCGGUGUAGCGGUGAAAUGCGUAGAUAUCGAGAGGAACACCUGCGGCGAAGGCGGGUUGCUGGGCUGACACUGACGCUGACAGCGCGAAAGCUAGGGGAGCGAACGGG
rnacentral:rRNA from 1 species